GAGGACCUUCUCUGAGUUGAGACUGUGUGGAAAAGGCUAACAUUCCCUCCAAAAUGUGUGCUCCCUCUUCCAUAGGCCAGAGUGAGCCCUGUGAAGUAGCUGCAUUUCCCAGCCCUCUGCAGUAUAGAGAGAUGGGGGCAUGUCAUUAUUCUUGCCAAUGAUUCUGCCUGGGUGCACAGACUCAAUUCCUGGGGGACAGUGGAGCCACGGGAUGUAAAGGGCCUGCACCCCUGAAUGCCAGAAUGGAGGUGCACUGCCCCCAACCAGGGACAUGGACUGUUAGGUAAGGCUCAGGGAGAUUAAGGGAUGCACCCAAGGUCAAACACAACCAGUAGGCAGUAGGCCAGGAUUGAAUCUGGAUGUCUGACUCCAGAGACUUCUGGAGGUUCAGUUACCAGCACACGGUGGAGAUCUUCCUCCACCACCACCACCUAGAGAGAAUGAGCAGGAAACCUCAGAAGAAAUGGCACCCAAAAGAGCCAGAAGUGUCGCCUCAGCCAGCUAAGGUUGGAACCACUUACCAACGCCCAGAAUCACGUCUUUCCAAUCAAACCCAAUGACUGUUCAU
rnacentral:lncRNA from 10 species